CGAGAAUUUCCAUAGUAACGGCGAGUGAACUGGAAAGAGCUCAACGCUGAAUCACACGGCAGAUCUGGCGUGGUGAACUGUGGCGUAUAGGCGUAACUGCAUCGGUGGCUAUCGCUAUCCACUCAAAGUUCCUAUGACUGGGGCAAGUUCCAGAGAGGGUGCAAGGCCUGUAUGAGUGGAUGGCGGCUGUCGAUACUGGUUACUGCCCUAGAGUCGAGUUGCCUGGGAACGCAGCUCAAAGUUGGUGGUAAACCUCAUCUAAAGCUAAAUAUGACUUCGAGACCGAUAGCGAACAAGUACCGUGAGGGAAAGUUGCAAAGAACUUCGAAGGGAGAGUUCAAGAGGACGUGAAACCGCUAGGAGGGAAGCGGAUAGAGUUAACGGCAUAAUGGUGGCAUUCAGCUGAUGGUUUUAAUACAGCCGUUAUACUAGUGUUUCUGAAUACAACGGACGCUCGUAUAAAUGCCUAUCGUAUUUACCAUCAGUGUUUUUGCCAUCAUUGGCGCGCUGAGGCGCUUGAAGUGAUGUGCUGCCGUCGGCUAGCAGAGGACUGCACUGUUUAUCAGUGCAGAACCCUAUGGCAUGCUAAAGCACAUUCGCUACAAGUGCUGCAACUUCUAGCCCUACCCGCUACGGCGCAUGAAUGCAGCUGUGGCAGCAUUGACGCUUGCUAGUGACGAUGUCACUCAGCUUGGUGUCGCAGUGUGGCCAUCGUUGUGUUUGGUGCGUUGGUAGAGGCUAAACCUC
rnacentral:rRNA from 1 species